GUAUUUAUUUAAUUGGAUUUGUGCAUAUUUUAUUUAAAGGAGCUACACUAUUAUAAUUAAUUAGACUUAUUAAGUUUAAUUAAUUAUUUUCAAAGAGUAAAUUUUUAUAAUAAUAUUAAAUUAUUAUUAUAAGCAUAUUUUAAGUAAUUACUUAUUAUAUGCUAAGCAUGACAUGAAAUUGCAUUAUAUUUUGCAAAAAGAGUAUUUAUGAUUUAAUUGGUUUUAUUUAUAAUUCCAAUUAUUAAAGAAAGAUGAGUAAGAAUAUUGUUGGUGUUCUUAACUCAAGAGAAAUGUUUUCAAUUAUUUAUUCAUUAAAUUUUGAAAACCCGGCUAAGUGAAUCAUAGAAUAUUAAGCACUUCACCAUGACUUAAGAUUAGAAUUCAAGGAGACCUAUUAAGAAUAGAUUUCUUGUAGGCUUUGAGCAUCAGGAGGAUUAGCACUGCUAUUCCGAUUCAGAGAUAAGGUUAAACGACAGGCUUUGCCUAGACAGGUUGAUUGGUCGGUGCUGACGGGGCAGAGCUGAGGCUAGGGUUCAACUCCGUAUUUUGUCUUCCGCUGUUGCACUAGCUCUUAUUUGUCUUUUAUUUCUCCAACUUAAGACUUUUAUGUUAAAUUCUGAAUUAUGUUUCUUAUCGAGCUUAAACUCUCAACUUCUAGCUCUAUGUUAUUAACGUUGGUUAUCGGAAGCAUGAAACUGAACUUGUGAUCCUAAGGCUUAGAAUGUUGUUGAUUGAUUAAUAUCACUUGAUUUUUGUCUUUCUU